AGAAAGGGAUAAUUAAAUGACCAAUUGAACAUGUCAUCAGUUCACACAAUUGACCAUAUCACUAUAUUAGAACACACAAUUUUUUUUGGAUGUUACUUGGGCAUCAUCAAGAUGAACACAUCCAAAUAAAACAGAUAUGACAAGUUCAGACAUACCUGGGCAUUGUAAGUAAAUUUUGGUUCCAGAAAAUACUACACCUAACGACCACCAAUGCUAGACCAUCAGGAGAUGAUGGAGAUUUACCAAUUUCCGCCAAUGGCUGCAUCGACUCUGCUGUUUCCCCAUUGCUUCAUAAAUAAAUAAAAUUGCAUAAAGCAUCCAAAUUUCAACAAUUAACCAAUGGGUGUACACUACUGGGGUUCGACAUCGAAAUUUUAGUACUAAAUCAUCUUCGGCGCUUGCACUAAUCAGAAAAAUAGGACAACUUGGGCGAUUGGACUAAUCAGAAAAAUAGGAGGUGCUUACUGAACAUACCUAACCAAAACCAAGGGUCCACGGCGAGUGGGCGACGAGCCGACGAGGGAGCGGCGUCUCAGCGUGCACUGCCGGCAUGGAUGAACCGUGUACGGAUAACGGGGUUCCAAGCGCGGAGAAGCCAGAGGAGCCUCGGGCGCCGGCCCGCGGGCUGCCGGUGUGGGCGGACUGGGACGGCGAGCCGUGGGCGUGCCGCGUGGUUGGAAGGGGAUGGGGCUUCCGAGGAGGAGGUCAGAAGUG
rnacentral:lncRNA from 1 species